UACGUAGGGUGCGAGCGUUAAUCGGAAUUACUGGGCGUAAAGCGUGCGCAGGCGGUGUUGUAAGACAGAUGUGAAAUCCCCGGGCUCAACCUGGGAACUGCAUUUGUGACUGCAUCGCUGGAGUGGGGCAGAGGGGGAUGGAAUUCCGCGUGUAGCAGUGAAAUGCGUAGAUAUGCGGAGGAACACCGAUGGCGAAGGCAAUCCCCUGGGCCUGCACUGACGCUCAUGCACGAAAGCGUGGGGAGCAAACAGG
rnacentral:rRNA from 1 species